CACAAAGGCUUGGUCCCAACCUUAAAAUCAAUUUUUACCCAACUUACACAUGCAAGUAUCCGCGCCCCAGUGAGAACGCCCCUAUCCACGAUAAGGAGCUGCCAUCAGGCACAACAACCAGCCCAAGACGUCUAGCCCCGCCACACCCACAAGGGUCUUCAGCAGUGAUUAAUAUUAAACAUUAACGAAAGUUAGAUUUAGUUAGGGUUCCUAGAGCCGGCCAACAUGGUGCCAGCCGCCGCGGUUACACCAUAGACUCGAAUUGACCCUAUCGGCGUAAAGCGUGACUGAAUUUUUUCCCCCGCUAGAACUAAACUUAAACCGAGUUGUAAAAACCUUGUUUAAUGUAAACUCAAAAACGAAAGUUAUUCUAGGUAUUCUUGACUCACGACAGUUGGGGAACAAACUGGGAUUAGAUACCCCACUAUGCCCCACCAUAAACUUUUACUUACACUUAACCCGCCAGAGAACUACGAGUCGCACUUAAAACUCAAAGGACUUGUCGGUGCCCCAUACCACUAGAGGAGCCUGUCCUAUAAUCGAUGACCCCCGCUAAACCUCACCCCUUCUAGCUUUUCAGCCUGUAUACUUCCGUCAUCAACCCACCCCGUGAGCGAAAUCCAGUCGGUCCCCCGCCCAUACGCAUAAACGUCAGGUCAAAGUGCAGCAGAUCAAGGGGGAAGAGAUGGGCUACAUUCUCUAACUUAGAGCACACGGAAAGCCAUUAUGAAACCUGGCUGGAAGGCGGAUUUAGAAGUAAACUGGGAGUAGAGUGCCCUCUUAAAUCAGGAACUGGGGUGCGAACACACCGCCCGUCACCCUCCUCAACACAUAUUACAAGUAAUUAACUCUUCGAAACCUUAAAAGAGGAGGUAAGUCGUAACAUGGUAAGCGUACCGGAAGGUGCGCUUGGAA
rnacentral:ncRNA from 1 species